rnacentral:lncRNA from 1 species
AUGACCUCUGUUCUACCGUCUCCUUCUAUGACAUCAACUUUUUGAGUUUCCCCAUACGAAUGAGAACAUAUAGUAUCUGUCUCUGUUUCUGUACCUGGCUUAUUUCACCUAAUGUUCUGUCCCCAAAUUCCAUCUAUGUUGUUGCAAAUGACAGGAUUUCACCUCCUUUCAUAGCUGAAUAAUAUUAUCCCUCUUCUUAAUUAUCCAGGAGCCACAGCUCUUUCUAUAUGCAAGUCUUGGCAGGUCACUCUACGGCUUUAAAUCCCUGAUUGCUCAGCUGCCUGUGAUGAAGCCCUCACCUCUACCACGGCUAGGCUUCCUGCUUGGACUCUUGGCUACUUUUCCAGCUUUCUCUCUCUCUAACCCCACCAUGGCUUCCUUCACUCCAACUUCUGUAGAUGCCAGCUUUCCUAGACCAUUCACCAGCCCAAGGCUAAUUCCCAGCGACCCAGGGGCUUCCUGGACUUGGUGAAACCCAGGAUAGUCCUGGGCAACCGGGAUAGUUGGCCACCUGUUUUGCCUUGGAUCUCUGCAUAUUUCCAUCUUAUUCUUCUCUGAACUGUUCCAACUCACUUCCUAUUUACUACUUAUUCCCAGGUCUGUGCUUGGAUGUCACUUCUGUAACUCCCCGAGGAGUGGCUUACUUGUCCCUUCUGGGGGCUGGCACAGUACACACUCCUUGCAGCCAGCAUGGUAUUAUCAUAGCUGCUGUCCACUCCCCAGCUGUACUAGCGCCUUGAAAGCAGGAGUAGGUUUUUCUCACACCUACACACUAGGCCCUCUGUAUCCACAGGUCCUAUAUCCUAGAGUUCAACCAAUCAGAGAUCACAAAAAUCGGAAAAAGACAAUUUUCCUGGUGCCAAAGUAUACUUUGUAGUUAGGUCCACCAUGAUCAUCUCUGUACUGGUCACGUACAAGCUGCCUUUUCUUGUCGUUAUUCCUUAUGUCAUAUAGUAUAACUGCUUAUAUUAUUUACAACAUAUUUACAUUGUGUUAGUUAUUACAAGUCAUCUAGAAACAUUUUAAAGUAUAUGGGAGGGGCUGGGGGGUCUAGCUUACUGAGCCCAUGCUUAGCACACACAAGACUCUAACCACAAUUCCUGGCACCAAAAGAAAUAAAAAGUUACAUGCAAAUAUAUGUAGGUUAUAGGCAGAUAUCACACCAUUUGUCCACAAGAGACUUGAGCAUCAGUUGAUUUUGAUGUCAGAAUUCACAUUCUGAGGGACAACUCUAUUCCCAAAACCUAGCACAGUAGGUAUUCUAUAAAGUUUUGCUGAAUUAAUGAAUAGCAAUAUCAUCUUUAUUGAUUGUUUCUAGUUCAUACCACUGUGUUGUGACGUACAGACAGUUAAGGGGCACACAAGGAACCAUCCUGAGGCAGAGUCUAUUCCAAAAUAUUUGCAAAAAUAUUUCCCAGCCCACAUGUACUUCCAGAACCUUGCCACUUUCCAGAGUCUGUCACCUCUGCUUGAAAUUGGACAAGUCUCUCUGGCCAACGAGGGAUGAAAGAAGUGACACUAUGAGACUUCCAAGAUCAAGAGGAGAUUCAGAUUCCAUCUGGCUUAGCCCCAUGCCCUAAGGCCCAGGCCAUAUGGAGGGAAACGGGCCCCACCCUCAGCCUAGCUGAGUGCCCACCUGUCCCUCCGCCAUCUUGGAAGUGGAAUGUGGACUAGACUCAAGCUCCCUGUAAAGAUCCCUGCUCAAACUUCAGAUUCUUGAAGAAAAUAGCUGACUUCUCCAUGCAGCAAAUAAAUUUGGAAUGCUCUGUGAUACAGGAAGAGAGAACUCAAAUGCAGCUAAAGCAAAGCACAGAUGCUGGCACUGGCUGAGCCCUUUUUCUCUUGGUAGAUCCCUGGUGCAGAAGAUCCAAAAGGGCCUGGGGGUAGACACUAGUCUGGCCCAUUUGAACAUCUGCCCACAAUGUGACUGGCUCUUGACAUAAUCAAAGGGUGCACUGGGCCAAGCAAGGUCAGACGGGCGAGGAUGCAGGCCACCUCAGCUUCCAUACCUGUUUGUGGCUCCCGGGAGCAACCACGGGGACUCAGGCUCCAGGGAGAGGGUGCCCUUCCUGAGAGCCAGCUGCUUUGCCCAAGGACAUAAGGGCUAAUUGCAGGAUAACACACACUAGUGCCACCCAGGAUGGUGCCAACACAUUAAUUGUAAUUUGGUCAUGUUUGGUCCCUACCUUUCAUUUGGACAUUCAAACCAUCAUGCCCUGUGUCAUCCUGCCAGGCAGGUAACUG